UCCCCUCUUAGGAAUGACUGGAAAACCUGACUCCAUGGUUUGGGACACUGUACUUCACCUGCGACUCAGCACCUGAUCACUCUAGAGGUUUGUCUGGAAGUACCAUGAAACACCAUGCCUGAACCAAGACUUUAACUUGGAGAAGCGGGACAGCUGGAUGGAGCUCUCCAUUAAAAUAUUGUUGUUCCAGGUUUUAGUCAAUGACACUAUUGCAACCAUCUUGUACGGUGAGAGGACAAGCCUGAGAACAACAAAAAUGGAUGAGGAUGACAAAAAAGAAAGAUGAAAAGACCUGCCUUCUUGAUCAUUUAACUGCUGAAUUAAAUAAUCCUGAAUCUACUCUACCCAACCCCCACAUUGAUAGGGAUCAGUGCUUGCCUGCGUCUUCAGUGUGGGUCAUCAUGGAUCAAUGCUGUGGUUGAAGAAGUUCAGAGAACAGAGAAAGCAGUUGGAGCUGCAGCUGUCUGUUUUAUCUGAUGCACAAAACUAGGAUCUCUGAUUGAGAGUAUGCUUUGACACCAGUAGCAGAGGAUGUGAGCAAAGCAACUUUCAGGCAUCAGAAGUGUCAGCAGAAGGAAAAAUCAGCACAAGUAGAAUGCAUCAAGGAUUUCAACAUCUAAAAUCCUUGAAGUUGAGCCACCGUUUCUUUUCCUCCAUUCGAAUUACUUAUGCACCCAGGUGCAGAGAGGCAAUCAAGGUCAACACAUUAGAAAU